rnacentral:rRNA from 1 species
UACAGAGGUCUCAAGCGUUGUUCGGAUUUAUUGGGCGUAAAGGGUGCGUAGGCGGCUAGCUAAGUUUGGUGUGAAAUCCUGGGGCUUAACCUCAGAAUUGCACUGAAUACUGGUUUGCUAGAGGACUGGAGAGGAGAUUGGAAUUCACGGUGUAGCAGUGAAAUGCGUAGAUAUCGUGAGGAAGACCAGUGGCGAAAGCGAAUCUCUGGACAGAUCCUGACGCUGAUGCACGAAGGCGAGGGGAGCAAACGGG